GCGGCCUAUCAGCUUGUUGGUGGGGUAAUGGCCUACCAAGGCUUCGACGGGUAGCCGGCCUGAGAGGGUGACCGGCCACACUGGGACUGAGACACGGCCCAGACUCCUACGGGAGGCAGCAGUGGGGAAUAUUGGACAAUGGGCGGAAGCCUGAUCCAGCAACGCCGCGUGAGGGAUGACGGCCUUCGGGUUGUAAACCUCUUUCAGCACAGACGAAGUUGCCCUUUUGGGGUGGUGACGGUAUGUGCAGAAGAAGCACCGGCCAACUACGUGCCAGCAGCCGCGGUAAUACGUAGGGUGCGAGCGUUGUCCGGAAUUAUUGGGCGUAAAGGGCUCGUAGGCGGUUUGUCGCGUCGGGAGUGAAAUCCACUGGCUUAACUGGUGGCUUGCUUUCGAUACGGGCAGACUGGAGGUAUGCAGGGGAGAACGGAAUUCCUGGUGUAGCGGUGAAAUGCGCAGAUAUCAGGAGGAACACCGGUGGCGAAGGCGGUUCUCUGGGCAUGUCCUGACGCUGAGGAGCGAAAGUGUGGGGAGCGAACAGGAUUAGAUACCCUGGUAGUCCACACCGUAAACGUUGGGCGCUAGGUGUGGGAUCCAUUCCACGGGUUCCGUGCCGCAGCUAACGCAUUAAGCGCCCCGCCUGGGGAGUACGG
rnacentral:rRNA from 1 species